CAGCGCGGAUUUACAAGUUGCAAUCUGUUCAUCAGUUUAAGAUGGAGUAAUCGAUGCAAGAAGCACAGCUAGCUUCACUUGAUUCCGCCACUUUAUUUCUGACUGCAGAAAGCGCGAUACGUGCUAUGAAGAUUUAAAAAUGUGAAAUACCAACAAAUUGGCUUGUUUUAACAGGCGUGUUAAAAAAAUUGAAAAUUGUAGAAUGAAACAAAUGCUUCAAUGGAUUUGAUUGAUGAUGGCAACAAAAAGAGGUUAAAAAUGUUCAUCGUGUGACAUUUCAUUUCCUUGGCCGCCAUUUUGGGUUUCCUCACUCGACUGUGUCGGAAAUAAUGCCUAGAAUUAGGUUAGUGUUCACAUUUCUCAACAUUCCCGAUUCUACAAUAUGAUGAAAUCAUAAACCAUUCACAGACGCCAUAUAAAGGCGAAGCGUUGACAAACUCCUCCAAUAUUCUUUUGGAGAUAGCGAGUCUUGCCUAGCUGGUUAUGGACCAUGGUUAAAAACUUGGCACUGACUGCUUUCAUUUAUUACAAAUUGGUUUCGAUUUUAUCAAGAGUACUAAUGCUUUGUAUUCUCUUGUUUACAGGUGUUCCGUUGAAUAAAUGAUAAAAAGAUCUUCAAUAAAACACUUUUUUAAAUCAAAAA